ACCUGCGUUAAUAGAUGCUAUCUCCUCCGCAUCCUUUCUAUCUCUUCAUAAAGUUCACUCGUAGAGAAAAAACCAGACCACCCAAAAUUUCUCCUCCUCUCUCAGAACUCCACCAUAGAAACCUAAUUAAGCCCUUACAUCAGAAAAUCUCACUAACAUUAACCUUUUACAUCUCUCAAUUGUACAACAGUUAGGUUUAAUUUUCAAAAUCAUCAUGUACAGGUAAAUCUCAACAGCUUUAGUUGUAGUUCUUCAUCAGGCGGAUUUCAACAGCUUAAGUUGCAGUUCAGAUUUUCAUCGUGUACAGGGUCUGGAACUGAUUUACCCAGAAAUAUUCAGGGAGUUCUUUCUUCAUUUUAGUGAUUUUCUCUUUUUUGAUGGAGAUUAAAGAGAUGGAUGAGGUUUUGGAGAUGCUGAUGCUGUUUUGUAGAUGGGUUUGUCUUCAAUCUCAAGACUGAUGCAGUGGAUUUGAGAAUUGCAGUUAGAGAACUGAAGAUGGAGUUGUUGCUGUGUGAGGUAGAGAUGAACAUGGAGUUUUGGCUUCAAGUUUAGAAGUGGAUUCGAAGUCAAGGAUGAGAAGGAAAUGUGGGGCGACUAUGUAAUUGAAACGAUGAAUAUGCAGAGAAGAUUAAUUAUUUGCAGUAUGCAGCUGGUGGUUGUGAUUAGGGGUUGGUGUGUUUAGAUGUAGCUGAACUGAAAUGCAAGUGUUGGUGGUGGCUUUGAUGUGGUGGACAAGAUGGUAUGUAGGUGGAUUUAUGAACUGGGAUUGUGGAAUUUCAGGUGGUACUGGUGGUGCUGAGAAAGAGAAUGGGAAGUGACAGUGGCUGGAUGUUGUUGAAUGCACUGGAAGUGGUAGUGCUGUUGUGAGACUUGAGGAGCAUGUUUUGCAAUUUUUAUACCUUGAAUAUCACCUGAGAAUUCUGCAUGAGUAAGAGCCCUUGUAAACACUUCCAUUGUGAUCAAGCAGAGAUAAGGUGAUAAUGGAUCACCUUGUCGAAUCCCUCAUGUUGGUUUAAAAGGAUGACAAGGUGAACCAUUCAGAAGAACUUGAAUUUCCGUAGUCGACAGGCAUUCAUGGACUAGAUCACACCAUUUAUUGCUAAAACCCAGUUUUAAAAUAACAUCCUUCGGAAAACUCCACUCUACACGAUCAAAAUCUUUACUCGUGUCCAGCUUCAUGGCCAGAUAAUGCUUCUUGUUCUUCUUCUUUUUUUAUAUAGUGAAUUAAUUCUUGGGCUAAGGUGAUAUUAUCACUUAUCUGUCUUCCCGGAAACAUAUGCAGCUUGCAUUGGGGAGAUGAAUUUAUCUAGAUGAGUCUUUAAUCUGGUUGCAAUUAGCUUUGUAAUCAGCUAGUAUGUAGAGUUGCACAGAGCGAUGGGCCUGUAGUCUCCUGGUGUGUUAAGAAGAUUAGUUUUAGGUAUAAGACAUAAAUUUGUCUUAUUCAUCUUCUUCAAAAGUCUCCCUGAAGUAAAGAAGGAUUGAAUCAUACUUAUAACAUCUUCUCUGACUAUUGACCAUUGAGAUUGAAAAAAACCGGGAGGAAAACCAUCAGGACCCGGUGCUUUUCAUGGCUGCAUACACUUUAGCAGUGCUCUAAUUUCAGUUUCAUCUGGGAUCCUUGUAAGCUCUAUAUUCACUUCAUCAGAGAUGCAAGCUGGGAGGAGAUCUAGAAGCUCAACGUCUCUUGGAGGAUUUGUAGUGCUCAUGAUGUUCUUGAAGUGUGAAGUUAAUAAUUCUUCAAGAUUGUUUCUUCCCGUACACCAACUUCCAUUCUGCUUCUGGAGAGUUUCUAUCCUGUUUCUAGCUCUUCUCUUGUUUGCUUGAAGAUGAAAAUGUUUUGUAUUUUGAUCCAGUUCAGGGAAUAGAGUUUCUCUGGAUUUUUGCCUGUAAAAUUCUUCUUCACGAGCAUGCGAUUCUUUAAUUUCCUUUUCAA